rnacentral:rRNA from 1 species
GAUGAACGCUGGCGGCGUGCCUAACACAUGCAAGUCGAACGGAGAUUACAGACGGAAGUUUUCGGAUGGAAGGCUGUAAUUCUUAGUGGCGGACGGGUGAGUAACGCGUGGGCAACCUGCCCUAUACAGGGGGAUAGCAGCUGGAAACGGCUGGUAAGACCGCAUAAGUCGGUUAAACCGCAUGGUUUGACUGGGAAAUGAGCAAUCAGGUAUAGGAUGGGCCCGCGUCCGAUUAGCCAGUUGGCAGGGUAAAAGCCUACCAAAGCAACGAUCGGUAGCCGGACUGAGAGGUCGGACGGCCACAUUGGGACUGAGACACGGCCCAAACUCCUACGGGAGGCAGCAGUGGGGGAUAUUGCACAAUGGAGGGAACUCUGAUGCAGCGACGCCGCGUGAGUGAAGAAGUAUUUCGGUAUGUAAAGCUCUAUCAGCAGGGAAGAUGAUGACGGUACCUGACUAAGAAGCCCCGGCUAACUACGUGCCAGCAGCCGCGGUAAUACGUAGGGGGCAAGCGUUAUCCGGAUUUACUGGGUGUAAAGGGAGCGCAGGCGGUUUGGCAAGUUGAGAGUGGAAGCAGGGGGCUCAACCCCCUGACUGCUCCCAAAACUGUUAAACUUGAGUAUGGGAGAGGCAGGCGGAAUUCCUAGUGUAGCGGUGAAAUGCUUAGAUAUUAGGAAGAACACCGGUGGCGAAGGCGGCCUGCUGGACCAAAACUGACGCUGAGGCUCGAAAGCGUGGGUAGCAAACAGG